CCAAACAGCGAGUGAUUGUAAUAUGGUAGCGACACCUCACACCACCACGUCGCAGUCAGAUACCCUGUUGGAACUAUUUAUCCAAACUCUCCUUUACUGUUUACAGUAGGAUUAUCAAGGAUACAGCAGAUGAAGAGAAUGAAGAAACCCGAAACCCAUCUAUUAAUAUUUCAAAUAGUUUCCCUUAAAAAUAAUAAAACAUAAAAUAACAUUAACAAUAGUAGUCCAAUUUUUGCGACCCAAAA